rnacentral:rRNA from 1 species
AUGGCCUCCUCCGCCUCCGUUGCGGUCCUCACCGCACCCCCCUUUCCCACUUGCCCCUCCUCCGACGACUCUGACGACGCCAAGCCCCUCCCGCCUCCACCCACGUCGGGAGAAACCCGCCCUCCUCCGCAGCAUCAGCAGAGGCCGCGGUGGUGGCAGCUGGAGCGCGACUGCAACGUGGCCAUGAAGGCCCUGGCGCGUGCGGGCGAAGUCGACCAGGUGCUCGCCCUCUUCACCGAGCUCAGGGCUUCCAGAACCGGCCCGGGUGGUGCCUCGCCGCCCAGUGUGCUCUGCUACAACACUCUCGUCAACGCGCUCGCAGAAGCUGGCCGCGUGGAGGAGGCCCACAACGCGUUCGACGAAAUGCUUGCAACAGGGGUGGCGCCCAAUGCAUCGUCCCUCAACAUCCUUGUCAAGCUGCAUUCGUGGAGAUCUGCGCGGUUUGACCUCGCGUACCAGGUGAUCAUCCGGUUACAAGAGCUCGGGGUGGAAGCUGACGUGGGCACCUACUCCACGCUUGUCACGGGGCUGUGCCGUGUGGGGAGAGUGAGCGAGGCAUGGGGCGUGCUCGAGUGGAUGCUGGAAGUGGGGUGCCGUCCCAUGGUGCAAACUUACACGCCCAUUGUGCAGGGGUAUUGCCGUGAAGGUCGUGUCGACGAGGCCAAGGAGCUGAUGUCCACGAUGGAAAGUGCUGGUUGUCCUCCCAAUGUAGUCACCUACAAUGUUCUGAUCAGGGCUUUGUGUGAUGCUGCCAGAUUUGACGAAGUCAGGCAGGUUUUAAUGGAUAGUAGAACCAAGGAUUGGAAACCAAGUACUGUCACCUACAACACAUUUAUGAAUGGUCUCUGCAAGAAAGGUAUGGCUAAGGAAGCACUUGAGCAGUUGGAUGUUAUGCUAGGCGAAGGGCUGGAUCCCACAGAUUUCACUUUGAGUAUUCUUCUGAAUUGCCUUAGCCAUGACAAGAGGAUUCAUGAUGCCGUAUGCUUGCUGGAGAGGAACACAUCAUUGAAAUGCUAUGCUGGUGUUGUUGCAUACAACACUGUGAUGAGCAGGUUAGGUGAAAUGGGACAUUGGAUGGGUGUUCUAAAGUUGUUGACAGACAUGAUCAAGAGAGGUGUCAUGCCAAACACGAGGACGUUCAACAUUGUCAUUCGUAGUCUUUGCUUUCGCCGAAAGUUCUCCAUAGCCAAGAGCCUCGCAAGUAACCAAGGUUUUGCUGCAAAUGUCGUGACAUACAAUACACUCAUUUAUUUUGUUUUUUACUACAGUCGAAAGCUCAUUGAGGUGAAGGACCUAAUAUUUGACAUGACAGCAGUGAGGAUUGCUCCAGAUGAAGUUACCUACACUAUAAUCGUUGAUGGAUUAUGCAGAGAUGGAUUUUUUGAUACAGCCACUAGUUACUUUCUAGAAUCGCUUGAGAUUGGACUGUCAAGGGAUCUUUUUGCUGUCCUUACAAACAGGCUUGCUCACAAUGGCAAGAUCUGGGAGACUAUUCACAUAUUCAAGGGAAUGGAAGAAAAAGGUUUUAUCCCUGAUAAUUCUAUAUUUGACCUCACAAUCAGAAUAUUCUGUAGGGCUGGUUAUUGUCACGACACAGAUAUGUUUAAGCUUAACUUUGUUCUAGAUACGAUGUUGGGCAAGCAGUGA